rnacentral:rRNA from 1 species
UACGAAGGGGGCUAGCGUUGCUCGGAAUCACUGGGCGUAAAGCGCACGUAGGCGGAUUGCUAAGUCAGGGGUGAAAUCCUGGAGCUCAACUCCAGAACUGCCUUUGAUACUGGCGAUCUCGAGUUCGGGAGAGGUGAGUGGAACUGCGAGUGUAGAGGUGAAAUUCGUAGAUAUUCGCAAGAACACCAGUGGCGAAGGCGGCUCACUGGCCCGAUACUGACGCUGAGGUGCGAAAAGCGUGGGGAGCAAACAGGG